rnacentral:rRNA from 1 species
GAUGAACGCUAGCGGCAGGCUUAAUACAUGCAAGUCGAGGGGCAGCACGAAUAGCAAUAUUUGGUGGCGACCGGCGCACGGGUGCGUAACGCGUAUACAACCUACCUAUAACAGGGGGAUAGCCUUUCGAAAGAGAGAUUAAUACCCCGUAAUAAAUUGAGUGGCAUCACUUGAUUUUGAAAGCUACGGCGGUUAUAGAUGGGUAUGCGUCUGAUUAGCUAGUUGGUGAGGUAACGGCUCACCAAGGCGACGAUCAGUAGGGGAUCUGAGAGGACUAACCCCCACACUGGUACUGAGACACGGACCAGACUCCUACGGGAGGCAGCAGUAAGGAAUAUUGGUCAAUGGAGGCAACUCUGAACCAGCCAUGCCGCGUGCAGGAUGACGGCCCUAUGGGUUGUAAACUGCUUUUGUACCAGAGAAAACCUACUCACGUGUGAGUAGCUGAUAGUAUGGUAAGAAUAAGCAUCGGCUAACUUCGUGCCAGCAG